AGUGAACGCUGGCGGCAGGCCUAACACAUGCAAGUCGAGCGGCAGCGCGGGGGCAACCCUGGCGGCGAGCGGCGGACGGGUGAGGAAUUCGUCGGAAUCUGCCUUUUUGUGGGGGAUAACGUAGGGAAACUUACGCUAAUACCGCAUACGUCCUACGGGAGAAAGUGGGGGACCGCAAGGCCUCACGCAGAAAGAUGAGCCGACGACCGAUUAGCUAGUUGGUGGGGUAAAGGCCCACCAAGGCGACGAUCGGUAGCUGGUCUGAGAGGAUGAUCAGCCACACUGGGACUGAGACACGGCCCAGACUCCUACGGGAGGCAGCAGUGGGGAAUAUUGGACAAUGGGCGCAAGCCUGAUCCAGCCAUGCCGCGUGUGUGAAGAAGGCCUUCGGGUUGUAAAGCACUUUUGUCCGGAAAGAAAUCCCUGCAGCUAAUACCUUCGGGGGAUGACGGUACCGGAAGAAUAAGCACCGGCUAACUUCGUG
rnacentral:rRNA from 1 species